CUACUUUAAUGUCGGUGAAGUCAAAAUCACCUAGAUCUAGAUCUAGAACUAGAAAUCUACAUGUAUUUUUAUUGCAGAUCAAGAUCUAGUCUUCAUUCCGGUUCAGAAUAUGCGACGAUAACGGUCAAAGGGAAACAACAAUGAAAAAACUAAUGUAGCAAUAAGAAAUUAGUAUUACCUCCCUUAAAAUCGACCAAUUACGUCACAGUUACUUGUGUAAACACCUACGUCAUUAUUCAUUGUGUACACACAUCUUUUAAUGUCAUUGUUCUGUGUGCAAACACCUACGUCAUCGAUUUUUGUGUUGCUAUGGAAACCAGCGCCAUUGUUUUUCAUUGAGUACGUCAUCAACCUUUGUGUAAACACCUACCAACGGGUUCAUUCGUUGAGCACAAACAUCUUUUGUGCACGAUCGGAGAUAUUUGCUCACGAGACAAACGUGUGUGCCUCAGUGACAGAGAUCUGGUGUAUCUCCUGGACACGAGGAGAGGGCAAAGGUCAAUCAGAAACUGGAGGAGGAAUUCCUGCUGGCCCAGACACUGGAGAUGAGGGUGUUUCUAAAAAAAUUGCACAGGAGUUGCGCACUGUUCCCUGCCGUAUGUGAGAGACAAUCCCUGUGGUCUGAGGUCGGUCAAGCCAGUGCCAGUAUGGAGUCAGUAUCUCACUGAACACUCCUCUCUACCUGUGUGUAAGGAUGGAACUGUGUCAGAAGUCUCCAGAAGGCCAGAACCUGACAGAAACGUUCCGCUAUCUGUCAGGAGAACAUUCAUGACGCUGACAUGAAGGAGACAUCAACGCUGCUUACUCAGAGAUGGUCAUCAACUGGAUCUGUCAGAUUUGACUGGACGAAAAAGGAAACAGACUAAGAGAUGGGUAUACCUGACUGGAUAUAUGUGGAUCAGGAAAACCCUUCAUGUAUCUCCCCAAGUCGUUGUUGAUGCUGUGAUUCUUCAGCCUUUGCGGUCAGAUUGAUUGUGUGUGGCAGGGGUUGCCAAGCUACAGCCUAGGGGCCAGAUCCAGCCCAGGAGAUGAGUUUGACCGGCCACCGUGCCACCAUGUGGGACAAAUACUUACAGGAUGUUUGUACUCAGGACUUGCUCACCUAAAUAAUGUUAGUCAUUUCAUUGAACUCUACAGUACAUGUACAAUUUAAAUGUGCUUUUAAAGAUGUUGCAUCUUUGACCUUAUUUGUCUCGCUCUUGCAAGGAAUUAUUUUACUGACCCAGAAAGUUUUCUGUUCCAUUAUUAUUUUUCUUAAAUGUGGAUCAUCACUGCAGCUUGCCGUAUACGGUAUAUUGUCAAUUUAUAUCUAUAGUCACUGAACCUGUUGAGCAAUUUCAGUGAAAGAUAGAUGUUCCUUUAGAUGAUAUUAACAUGUCUAUUGAUAUUAUAUAACAAUAAUAUGUUAUGUAAAAGUAAGUAUAUGGGUUUAUUGCCCCUAUCAACGCUAUUACAGGGAUGCCAAAUCUCCGUUUUUUCCGGCUUUUUCUGGUUUUUUCCUACUCUUGCAAAGGGAAGGGGAAUGGUAAGAGAAAAGUUUUUGUUUGUUCAUGGAAAGAUUUCACAAGGUUGGUUACAGGUGAGAUGUGGCACUCCACUCAUUUUCAGGUUUUUUUUCAAAAACCAUUUGGCCUCCCUGCUAUUAGGUUAUUUAAGAGGCAGGAUUUCCUCAUUUAAUGUCCAUUUUCCAUAAAGGCUCUCAACCCAUUUUGCCAGGUCCCAUGGAAAACGGACAUUAAAUUAGGAGGUCCUGUUUCUGGAUAAUAGUGUAGAUUUGAUUUUUGUAUUAGCUGGUGAAAAAAGAAUGUACUGUAGAACAAAGUGACCACGAGUUCUUUAAUUGCCACUUACACACAUUGUUAGGUGUUUGUGUCACUAAAUGUAAUUCUAGAAACGUCCAGAAUAAUUGGAGUUUCCUUUUUCUUCUCCCCUAUUUUCCUCAGGAGGUCAUUGUGUAUACAUGAAGAUCAAAGCACGCCUUUUAAAUAAUCUAAAUUGUCCCGAUAGGGGUGUAAAAAACUUUUACAUUUAAAGCAAAAACCCUGAGGCAGGUCAGAUGAGCCAUAUUGUAGAACGUCAAUUGUCUUUUAGCUCGAGUAGUUGAAAUUCUGUUUGUUGAGUUUGCUGGUAGGGUAGAUUUGUGAAAACAAUUUUUU